rnacentral:rRNA from 1 species
GGUUCGGGAAUUGUGUCGUAAGGGUCCGACUCGUCAGGCGUCUGACCGUCCGAACAAGUCCCGCGGGACAGGUGUGCUCCCAGAGUGGGUGUGAGGCCUUUAGUUCGGUCUGGGUCUUCUGCCCGGCGCAGUCGGUACCUGCGAGUCGAGUUGCUUGGGAUCGCAGCUCAAAGCGGGUGGUAAGC